GCGUGCGUGCCGGCGUGGAGAGAAUAGGAAAAGAAGCAAGGGGUGAGAGAGCGGUAAAGAAGUAGCGUGUACCCUGUCUCCUCGCUCUCUCUCGGGAACGCGUCCGCCGCUCCGCCGGCCGCCGCUCGGUUAGCCGUCAAUACGUCGGACGCGGCAUGGGCUUCGACACGCUACAGUCCUCUCCUCCGCACACCGCCGCUCCGCUCCUCGCCCUUCUCCGCCCACUUCGACGACACUAAGCUUAGGAGCUACCACCAGCCGCCUCCGUCGUCAGCCGGUUCUACGGCCGCGCGCCGCGGCACAACUGCCACCUCCUCCCUCGGAGCGCGCGCACCACUAACGGCCAGUGUCUCCGGCUCCACGAUCCCCACCUCUAACUACCCGAGCAGCAGGGGCGGCCGGCGGCGGCCGGGGCAGGAGUGCGAGGUCGACCUAGCUGGCUACCUCGAGAAGACGCGGUGGUGGUCGGGGCGCCCGCGCGUUGGGGCGGUGUAGCCACGCCGGCCUGGCUGCGACGGAUACGCUGAUGCAGCUCCUGCCUGAGCACACAGUUCCUACUGCUCCUCCUCUUGGUGCGGCGCCGGGGCACAAACCACGGAUGGUUCCCUAGAGGCGGGCGGGGUGCAGGAUCGCGCGGAAGCGGGGCGCACCAGGACCCGAGGUGGUAGCGGAACACGUCUACCCCUAGACGGUGCGCUGCCACGGCAGCCCCGUCCCCAUCGAACUAAUGUUCGAGCUGCCACUGCGUGUAUAAACCAGGAGCUCGACUGAUGCCGUUGUUGCAUCACUACUCUACGAUUACCUGAUCUAAAGGAACCGUUAAGAUCCUUUGAUAUCAAGUACCUGUGGGGGUUUUACAUAUCAAGUACUGUUAGUUUAAUACAAUAAAACGGUAGUUUCCAGGUUAAAAUGUAAACAAUUAUACAGGGGGUAACUUUGAAUCAACGGUACAAACACAGAAAAGAAGUCCCAUGUAAUGUCUAUAUAGUGUAAGAAAAACGGUACCGUUGAAAACUAAAACCUAUACAGGGGUAGCUUUGAAAUCAACGGUACGAACACAGUAAAGAAAUCCCUUUUAAUGUCUAAAUAACGUAAGAACGGUACCGUUGAAAAAUAAAAACCUAUACAGGGGUAGCUUUGAAUUAACGGUACGAAAGAACGGUACCGUUGAUUAGAAUAUUAAAAACGGUAGAUUUGAAAAUUUUGAAAUCAAAUAACUAGUACCGUUUAAAUCAAGAGACUAGUACCGUUUAAGUAACGAAAUAACGGUACCUUUGAAAACUAAUAUUGUGUUUUACCGUUUAUAACGGUAAUGUUCAAAAUGAUUAAUAAAGUGGAAAUAAUUGUACUGCUUAAAUGGAUUUAAGGGUACCGUUAAAAAAUUGAAAAUAACGGUACCGUUCAAAUGAUAAAUAAACUGAAAAUAAUUGUACUGUUUAAAUGGAUUAAGGGGUACCGUUAUAGUUUGUAAAUAACGGUACCGUUCAAAAUGAUAAAUAAAAGGUACCGAUUAUAUAGAAGUAAAAGUACCGUUUAAAUAGAUUUAGGGG
rnacentral:rRNA from 1 species